GUGACAGCAGCCGCGGUAAUACGGAGGGAGCAAGCGUUACUCGGAAUUACUGGGCGUAAAGGGCGCGUAGGCGAUCUAUUAAGUCUUGUGUGAAAUCCCAGGGCCUAACCCUGGAAUUGCAUGGGAAACUGAUAGGUUAGAGUGCAGGAGAGGAAGGCAGAAUUCCCGGUGUAGCGGUGAAAUGCGUAGAUAUCGGGAGGAAUACCAGUGGCGAAGGCGGCCUUCUGGACUGCAACUGACGCUGAGGCGCGAAAGCCAGGGGAGCAAACGGGAUUAGAUACCCGGGUAGUCC
rnacentral:rRNA from 1 species